rnacentral:rRNA from 1 species
GACGAACGCUGGCGGCGUGCCUAAUACAUGCAAGUAGAAUGCACAGUUUAUACCGUAGCUUGCUACACCAUAGACUGUGAGUCGCGAACGGGUGAGUAACGCGUAGGUAACCUGCCUGGUAGCGGGGGAUAACUAUUGGAAACGAUAGCUAAUACCGCAUAAUAUUGAUUAUUGCAUGAUAAUUGAUUGAAAGAUGCUAUUGCAUCACUACCAGAUGGACCUGCGUUGUAUUAGCUAGUAGGUGAGGUAACGGCUCACCUAGGCGACGAUACAUAGCCGACCGGAGAGAGUGAUCGGCGACACGGGGACGGAGACACGGCCCAGACGACUGCGGGAGGCAGCAGUAGGGAAUCUGCGGCAAUGGACGGGAGUCUGGCCGAGUGAGGCCAAGUGAGUGGAGAAGAUGUUCGGUUCGUGAAGAUCGGUUUUGAGAGGAGAACGGGUGUGAGAGUGGAAGGUGCACACUGUGACGGUAUCUUACCAAAAAGGAACGGCUAACUACGUG